UGAUUAGAUUAUAUUUUAGAUGUACACAAUAAAAACAAUAAUCAAAUACAAAGUUUCUAUUUCCAAGCUUUGCAACUGUAGCACACCAUGUCCCAUUUAUAUCAAUAAUCACUACAGAGAGUAGCUUACAUGAUGAUAAUAAUACAACUAUAUCUAGAUUUCACAUGGCCCAAUAUUUAUGCACGGGCAAAGGCUUGAGUCCAAA
rnacentral:lncRNA from 1 species